UAAGGAAUAUUGGUCAAUGGAGGCAACUCUGAACCAGCCAUGCCGCGUGCAGGAAGACAGCCCUCUGGGUCGUAAACUGCUUUUAUCUGGGAAUAAACCUACUUACGUGUAAGUAGCUGAAUGUACCAGAAGAAUAAGGAUCGGCUAACUCCGUGCCAGCAGCCGCGGUAAUACGGAGGAUCCAAGCGUUAUCCGGAUUUAUUGGGUUUAAAGGGUGCGUAGGCGGCCUGUUAAGUCAGGGGUGAAAGACGGUAGCUCAACUAUCGCAGUGCCCUUGAUACUGACAGGCUUGAAUGAACUAGAGGUAGGCGGAAUGUGACAAGUAGCGGUGAAAUGCAUAGAUAUGUCACAGAACACCGAUUGCGAAGGCAGCUUACUAUGGUUUUAUUGACGCUGAGGCACGAAAGCGUGGGGAUCAAACAGG
rnacentral:rRNA from 1 species